GGAAUGUCAAGCCGAAAGUGGGAGGCAAUUGAGGAUUCAUCACCACUGCCUGCCUUUCGAUCACUGAUGGGUUCCCUCUGCUGCCAGAAGGGUGACUGUGCGGCAGCUGGCUGUGAACGUAAGGCACCAGUGCAGCACUUCCUUGGUAUUGUAUCAACCUGGACUUUUGUCAAAGGACUUUUUUGAAGAGGAACUUGAAUAUUCAAUCUUCUGACUCAGUGGUGUCUUAAGAAUCACCAUUCAUAAUAAUGAUCAUGAGGCACAGUAUUUACUGAGAAGUAACUCCUAUUGUCUCAAACAAAAAGCGCAUGGGAUCAUAAGCUAACCACUGUGCGCACUCCACUAGAACAGGGGUCACCAACCUUUUUUGCACCAUGGACCGGUUUAAUAUUGACAAUAUUCUUGCAGACCGGCCCGGCGGGUGGGGGGGCGGUGUGGGUGUUAAUAUCAACCAGAAUAUAAGUGAUAAGUCAACUAAAAGUCACAUUUUCAUUUUUAGAAUCUUUUUAUUAAUACAUAUUCUUCUACAACUAUAGAAUAAUACAAAACCUCACCAAAUUAAUAUGUAUACAAUUAAUAGAGCUGAAAAAGAACUAAUCGUAAUAUAUAGAAAUGAAAAAAAAAUGUUAUGUAUAGAAAAAAAGAAGGAAAAAAAAGAACCCCAUCUAACUAAGAAAAAAACCCAUUAACUACAAAAAAAACCCAUUAGGAAUCAACACCCGGAAGCAAUACAUUUAACCAUAAUCUAGAUAUAUUAAAAAAGUCAUCAACCGCCAAUUCACAUUUUUUUUAAAAAGAUAAUAAAAUUGGAAGGAAACCAUAUAGAAUAAUUCAAAUUAAAUGGUAAUAUUUGGCAAAAGAACCCCAUCUUCGCUCAAAAUCAAAUCGAGGUUCAAAAGUUCUACUACUAAUUUUUUCCAAGCUGAGACAUAACAUUACUUGAGAAAACCAUUCAAUUAAUGUAGGGGAAGAGAUAUCUUUCUAUUUUAAUAAAAUAGCCCUUCUUGCCAACAAUGUAACAAAUGCAAUUACAUGUUGAUCUGAAGAUGAAAUACCCUGAAUAUGAUGUGGAACUAUUCCAAAUAGAACAGUUAGUCUAUUAGGUUGUAAAUUAAUUUUCAAAGCUUUUAGAGAUUGUAGAAAAUAAAGAUUUCCAAAACAGUUUUAAUAAAGAACCUGACCAGAACAUAUGUGACAAAGUAGCUACUUCAGUUUUACAUCUAUCAGAAUAAUUAUCUACACCAGGAAAUAUUUUAGAUAGUCUCUCCUUUGUUAAAUAAUAAUGAUGGACAAUUUUAAAUUGAAUUAAACAGUGAUUGGCACAUAUAGAAGAAGAAUUUAUGUUUUUCAAAAUUCGAACCCAAUCUUCAUUCACAAAGGUCAUAUUAAGUUCUCUCUCCCAAUCUUGUUUAAUCUUCAGUGAUAGGUUCUCUUUUUGUAAAUUAUAAAUUCUGCUAAGGGAACCUUUCACUAAGGGAUUCAAUUUCAAAAUGGUAUCCAACAAAUCAGAUUCUUGUAAAUAUGGAAAGUUAGGUAAAUAUUAUUGUAAAAAAUGUCUAACCUGAAAGUAUUGCAAAAAUGUGUAUGAGCGAGAGAGUAUUUGUUAAUUAACUCUUCAAAAGUCAUCAAUUGACCAUUACAAAAUAAAUCUGUAAAAAAAACUGAUCCCUUUAUUUUUCCAUAGGAGAAAAAUGGGGUCGGUUAUUGAAAGUUUAAAUGAAAACUUUCAAUAUAAAAAACUAGACAACUUAAAUUGUUUAAAAUUUUAAAAAUUACGAAACUGAAUCCAAAUCCGUAAAGAUUGUUUAAUAACUGGGUAAAAAUUUAAAUUUGGAAUUUUGGAGAGCUGUAGAGCUCCUAAUAUUGAAGUUAAAUGAAAUUGUUUAACAUCUUUUAAUUCCAAAUCAACCCAAAGUGGUUUUUGGCUCUUAUCGAGCCAGUAUAACCAAAAACAUAAUUGUCUAAUAUUUACAGCCUAAUAAGAAGUGUAAGUCCACCAUCUUUUUUUGGGAUUUUGUAAAUGGUGCUUGUUGAUUCUUGGUCUCUUAUUGUUCCAAAUAAAGGAAGAAAUAAGAGAGUCAAUUUGAUAGAAAAAAAUUUUAGUUAAAAAGAUAGGUAUAUUUUGGAAAAUAUAUAAAAAUCUAGGUAAAAUCAUCAUUUUCACAGCAUGGAUACGACCUAUUAAAGAAAGAGUAAGUGGAUUUCAUCUAGAAAAUAGUAAUUUCAUGGAAUCUACUAGAGGAACUGUAUUAGCUUUAUAAAAAUCUUUAUAUUUUUAGUAAUUAUAAUACCUAAAUAUCUAAAUGUAUUAACGAUUCUAAAAGGAAUAUCACUAUAUGUACUAACAGGAGCAUUUAAUGGAAACAAUUCACUUUUAUUCAAAUUAAGUUUAUAUCCUGAAAAUUUUCCAAAAUCUUUAAGUGUUUCCAAAAGAUUAGGAAUUGAUUCCUCAGGAUACAAAAUAAAAAUCAGAAGAUCAUCUGCAUAAAGAGAAAUCUUAUGUAUUGUUACGUACCCUGUAACUGGGUUUACAGACCAGCAGAAAUAGAAGAGUCUGUUGGAGUCUGGUGGUACUGAAAACUAAAGGUGUUUAUUAGUAAACUACACAAUACAGUAUCAAAAAUGCAAAUAUACAUAUAAAACAGGUUAACAAUAAUUAACCUAGAUGUGUAGGAAUAAUGAUCAAUAAUAAUAAACAAGCUCUAUCAAUGUCUAGGGGUAAAUGUAUUGUCAUAAGAGAAUAUAGAGUUCAGUUCAUGUGUGCUGAGGUAGUUGCGGUUGUUGUAUUGUAAUUUGUUGGGGAGAGAGAGAGAGAGAGAGAGAGAGAGAGAGAGAGAGCGAGCAAGAGAUUGAGCAGCUGCAGCCAGCAAACCUUCUGUUGCUUUCUGAUCCCGUCGUACCAUUGUGGUCAUUCCAUUGUAACCCCUCUGUUCUUCAGCUGGACCAUUCAUCUGUGGUGGACUCAUCAGUCUGGCCUGAGUGGACACACACACAAGUCCCCACCAGCCCUGCUGUAACACUGUGAGCUUUACUGUCCGAUCUCCCGAUUCGGUCCUUGAAACCCCCACCUUUCUGUGGGUGCACAACACUCGGUCAGUGUCCACUGGUGUGUCUGAGAGGUGUCUCCCCACACCUGUCUUUUAUCCCCAUUGACAGGGUAUCAGCCAUCCAUCAAUUCAAAAUGACCAUGUCCAUCAAAUCAGGCCACUCCUGCUGUCUCCUUAGGAAUGUUAACGAGCAAAGUAAUGUCCUUGCAGCGAAAGGUAAACAAUCAAACAAUCCAGGAAGAAGCCAUAAUAUAUAAAUCUAAUGUCUCUCUCUCUCUCUCUCUCU